CACACAUUUUGAAGAACGAUCGGCACCCAUUGUGGCGUGUUCCGUCGUCCCGUUGGUGGGACUACCAUCGUACGUGGUGUACGCGUCAAAAGUUAGACGGAUUUACCUUGCGGCCGCCGUCUGUGUCUUUCGUGCCAGACUUCCGCCAUUUUCACCGUUAUGUAUCGUCUUUUUCGUACGGCAUGUAAACCAUUACGAUGACGGUUGUCCCAGUUUUCCACCGACGGAGGAUUUUACCCUGGACAGAUAUUUUGGUGAUAAAUGAUCCUGAGAGUGAUCCCCGAGUCAACUCCUUCUCUGACCAAUAUUUGCGAGGACCAGCGGGCC